rnacentral:rRNA from 1 species
GAGUUUGAUCAUGGCUCAGAACGAACGCUGGCGGCGGGCCUAACACAUGCAAGUCGCACGAGAAAGCCUUAGCUUGCUAGGGCGAGUAAAGUGGCGCACGGGUGCGUAACACGUAAGUAAUCUACCUUUAGAUUUGGAAUAACGUCGAGAAAUCGGCGCUAAUACCGAAUGAUGCAGCGGCACCGCAUGGUGAUGUUGUUAAAGUUUGUUAUGAAUGUCUAAAGAUGAGCUUGCGUCUGAUUAGCUAGUUGGUGAGAUAAAGGCCCACCAAGGCAACGAUCAGUAGCUGGUCUGAGAGGAUGAUCAGCCACACUGGAACUGAGACACGAUCCAGACUCCUACGGGAGGCAGCAGUGAGGAAUAUUGGGCAAUGCCCGCAAGGGUGACCCAGCAACGCCGCGUGAAGGAUGAAAGCCGUAAGGUUGUAAACUUCUGUUAGAGGGGAAGAAUAACUAUAAUUAAAAUUUAUAGCUUGACUGUACCCUCAGAGAAAGCCCCGGCUAACUACGUG